GCACAAGCGGUGGAUGAUGUGGUUUAAUUCGAUGCAACGACGAAAACCUUACCACCUUUGACAUGUAUGGAAGUUUCCAGAGAUGGAUUCGUGCUCGAAAGAGAGCCAUAACACAGGUGCUGCAUGGCUGUCGUCAGCUCGUGUCGUGAGAUGUUGGGUUAAGUCCCGCAACGAGCGCAACCCUUGUCAUUAGUUGCUACAUUCAGUUGGGCACUCUAAUGAGACUGCCGGUGACAAACCGGAGGAAGGUGGGGAUGACGUCAAGUCCUCAUGGCCCUUAUAGGUGGGGCUACACACGUCAUACAAUGGCCGGUACAAAGGGUCGCAAACCCGCGAGGGGGAGCCAAUCCAUCAAAGCCGGUCGUAGUCCGGAUCGCAGUCUGCAACUCGACUGCGUGAAGUCGGAAUCGCUAGUAAUCGUGGAUCAGCAUGUCACGGUGAAUACGUUCCCGGGUCUU
rnacentral:rRNA from 1 species